rnacentral:rRNA from 1 species
AUGGCGUCGUUCGGAGACGAUGAGAAGCCUCCUUCUCCGAAUGCAGGUAGCAAAGAUGGGCUGGUGACCAUGGCAAUUCCGGCGUACAACAGGAAAGAUGUGGGGCUGACCAAGGACACGGUGACGGCGAUGGUGGAGAUCAAGGCGACAUCCUCCGCCGCCAUGAGGGAGGGGCUGGACCUGGUGGCGGUGCUGGACGUGAGCAGGCACAAGAUCGAGAGCGUGAAGAAGGCCCUGCAGUUCAUCAUCAUGAAGCUCACCCGCGUGGACCGCCUCUCCAUCGUCAGCUUCGAUAGCACCGCGCGCAGGCUCAACCCGCUUCGCUGCAUGACGCAGGCUGCCCAGACCGACCUCAAGGCCGUCGUCGACGGCCUGGAGGACGGCGGCGGCGCCGACAUAAUGGCCGGUCUCGAGCUGGGGCUGGCCGUCCUCCGCGGCCGCGUCCACACCGAAUCCCGCACCGCCAACGUCUUCCUCAUGUCCGACGGGCAGACGACCUCCGGCGACCCCAGGCAAGUUAACCCCGGCGAAGUGGCCGUCUACACCUUUGGCUUCGGCGCCGGCACGGACCACAAGCUGCUGAGCGACCUGGCCAACAAGUCUACUGGCGGGACGUACAGCGCGGUGCCCGACGGGACCAACCUCAGCGCGCCCUUCUCGCAGCUGCUCGGCGGCCUGCUCACGGUGGUGGCGCAGGACGUGCAGCUCACGCUUGAGCCCAACACCGCCGAUGGCGACCUGGAGGAGAUGGCCGUGGCCCCGGGCACGGACUACACGACGAUCACUGACGACAAGAGCGGCCUUAUCACCAUCAAGUUCGGCACCCUCUUCAGCGGCGAAGCCCGCAAGGUGGCCGUCAACUUCAUGCUCAGGGACAGCGACGAGACCGAAGAGUACGACGCCACCUUGGCCGAGGCACGGCACAGCUACGCCGGCCAGAAGACGCGCCAGUCUCUCGAGGCCAUCCUCAUUGUGCGCACGCCGAACCCAAGCUCUCCCGCCGACGCCGGUGUCGAGAACCGCUCGGUGCAGGCCGAGGAGUUGCGCCGGCUGCACGCCGACUCCAUCAACGCCGCGAGCCUCCUUGCAGAGGCCGAGAGGCUGGAGGAGGCGCGGGAGAAGAUCGUGGACGCGCAGAACGCGGUGGAGGACAUCGUGCUGCUGAACGACGGGGAGAAGAUGGUCAACGCGCUCCGCGCCGAGCUGCUGCAGCUGCUGGCCUUCAUGGAGUCACAGGAGCUCUACAACCAGCGGGGACGCCCCUACGCCCUCGCCACCGUCACGUCCCACGGGCGCCAGCGCACCGCCCCGAGGGACGACGAGGGGGAGGUCAGGUGCCUCUAUGCGGCGCCGCGCAUGACCACCUACCUGGAGCAGGCCAAGAGGUCCGAGGAGAACCCCAAGGAGCCCGUGCCCUCCGCGGACGACGAUCUCUAG